rnacentral:lncRNA from 1 species
UGCAGCAAUAGGUCUUUUGUGUCUGGCCAAUGGGCAGCCCUGUUGAAGAUCUGAGAGUUAUGAGCAUCUACUGCCCUACAAUUCUUACAAUGGAUGCUUGGAAAUGAAAAGAAUUGUGGUCUUUACCUUUUAGAAUGUCACUUUGGUUUUGGGGUACAUGAGCAGAGCAUGCAAGACAGUUGCGUAGGAACACAAUCUUUCUAAAUUUAAAAUCCACAGGAGUUGCAAGCCAAUCCUUGGUUACGUGAUAAAAUAAAGAUGAAAACGUCUAUGGAAGAUACAUACAGUCUUUCAUCCCAAGUGAGUAAAGAAUCUUCUCAAGUUAAAUAUGGGUAUAGAUAUAUCUGAGCAUUGUUAUAAUAUGAAAGAAUCACUAUUCUGUAACUUCCUUUAAAAAACACUUCAUUAAGAUUUUAAUUUCUUAAAGUUGUUCUUUGAUAGCUCCUUUAAAGAAGUAAGGAACUAUUUAAGAUGAUUUGAUCAUACUUAGAAGAAAAGUGAAAAUAAAGGUUUAUGUAUUUUUAUAUGAAGAGUAUAUGCAUAUGUAUAUGUUGUAUGCAUGUACAUGUAAAAACACACAUAUUAGAAAUAAGUGUUGAAAUGAAAUAAGCCAGAGUACCAAAAUAAUUGUAAUUGAGUAGAUUUCUUCCACUCAAAUUGAAGCAGAUUCCAGUAAUUUUUCUUUCUUCUAUUUCACACAUUUAUUUUGGUAUUGGAUUAUAUUGGUUUUAUAUUUUUUAAAUUAUGUAAAGAUUUUUUAAUUAUCUUUGGUAGAAAAAAAUGCUGGCUUAAGCUAUUUCCUCACAUAAGUGCAGAGUGUUCUGGCAAACUUUAUAGCUUGAGCCUGUCAGAGUAACUUUUGACAUUAAGGACUAAGAUUAACCAGUGUUCCUGCUUGUGACCCAUUAUAUCCCUCUGCUCAUUAUAGAUACUAUACUAUGUUCCAGGUUUGUGGAGCUUCUGUUUCUUUAGUGUUUCUGUUCUGGUUCUGUUACUAACCAACCCUGUGGCCACAUAAGCUUAUGGAGUUCCCAUUGUUCAUUUAUAGCAUUAUGGAAGUGGAGUUCCCAUUGUUCAUUUAUAGAAUUAUGGAAGUAGACUAGAUUACCUAAGACCCAGUCCAAUGUCAACAUUAUAUAAUUAUAUUGUUUAACAAUGCUUACUUUGGAUUUCAACAAAUAUCAGUAUGUUUCCCUAGAAUAUUCAUCUAGAUAAUUGCUAAUCUUCAAUUUUAA